rnacentral:rRNA from 1 species
UACGUAGGGACCGAGCGUUGUCCGGAAUCAUUGGGCGUAAAGAGCGUGUAGGCGGCCAAUUAAGUCCUGCGUGAAAUCUCGGGGCUCAACCCCGAGCGGUCGUGGGAAACUGGUUGGCUUGAGUUCGGGAGAGGGAUGCGGAAUUCCAGGUGUAGCGGUGAAAUGCGUAGAUAUCUGGAGGAACACCGGUGGCGAAGGCGGCAUCCUGGACCGAUACUGACGCUGAGGAGCGAAAGCCAGGGGAGCAAACGGG